CUUGGCUGAUUUCUUUUGAUUUUCCCAUGAUGUCAAGCAAAGAGGCACUGAGUUUGAAGGUAGGCCUUGAAAUACAUCCACAGGUACACUUCCAAUUUACUCAAAUUAUGUCAGUUAGCCUAUCAGAAGCCUCUAAAGCCAUGACAUCAUUUUCUUUAUUUUUCCAAGCUGUUUAAAGGCACAAUCAACUUAGUGUAUGUAAACCUUCUGACCCACUGGAAUUGUGAUACAGGGAAUUAUAAGUGAAAUAAUCUGUCUGUAAACAAUUGUUGGAAAAAGUAGAUGUCCUAACCGACUUGCCAAAGCUAUAGUUUGUUAACAAGAAAUGUGUGGAGUGGUUACAAAACAAGUUUUAAUGACUCCAACCUAAGUGUAUGUAAACUUUCAUGUUUGGUCACACUAUUUUUUGGAACAUUUGACCCUUUAUGCACUUUUUGCAAUUUUUACAGCUUGGUACUGAGUCACCUUCAGAUGACAACCCUGAGUCUUGUGUGCAUUGUAAACAGAACAACCAACAACUUCGUGUUCGUGAGAGUUUCCCAUUUCGAUAUCGGUUUGUAACUCACAUGGUUCAGUCUGGACAGUUGGUUUGGUGAGAAGACCUCUUCGAAAUGAGUACAUUCGCAACAGAGAGUUCAGAUGACGGCUGUAAGCUUGUCGAUGUCGUAGAGCCAAACAACCGACACUGUCAUGUUUGUGAGAGUCUCCCCUUUCGAUAGCUCACACGGUUCGGGUUUUACAGAUGAUUUCUUGACAAUUUUCUUGUCCAGAUGCUCUCAUGCAGGAAAAGUUCACUUUCACGAGCCCCAUGUUAUGGAAUAGGCACAAACUUUAUAUGGGGAAAAAGGGGAUUGCGCUCCAAACACUACAAGAAAGGGUAAGUCAUUAGAAUAAACACAGGGAGCUAUUCAAUAUUCAAAAUGAUGUCACCUUGUGAUGGACGGGUGCAUCAAUCGGCUCUAGGGGUUUUUAAAAGGCAUUGAGAGAGUGUGAUCUUCCAUCCGUGGUAUAUAAAAUGAAUGACUUUGUCAGAUAUGGAGCGCUGCUGCUGGAAUUGCUCUGAACCCAAGAGGAGAACUG
rnacentral:lncRNA from 1 species